rnacentral:lncRNA from 1 species
GCAUGAUGUCUUAAUUUAUCAUGUGGGCCCAAAUAUCCUUAAAAGUCUCCUCAAAGAGUCUUGUGAAAUGUCCCCUAAAAACCCCAGUCGGUUCUGAGACCUGCAAGAGUGCUUACUUCCUGCACUGAACACAGCGGAGGAAUUAUGAAGGUGGAAGACAAGAACUACAUGUGAUACAUAGUCACAAGAAUUUGAAUUUGAAGAGACUGGCUCUAUUCUGUCCUAAUUAUCAGUUACAUGCUCUGUAAAAACAACUUUCUAGAAAUACAUCAUAUAUGUUUGACUC